rnacentral:rRNA from 1 species
UACGUAGGGUGCGAGCGUUGUCCGGAAUUACUGGGCGUAAAGAGCUCGUAGGCGGUUUGUCGCGUCUGCUGUGAAAACCCGAGGCUCAACCUCGGGCCUGCAGUGGGUACGGGCAGACUAGAGUGCGGUAGGGGAGAUUGGAAUUCCUGGUGUAGCGGUGAAAUGCGCAGAUAUCAGGAGGAACACCGGUGGCGAAGGCGGGUCUCUGGGCAGUAACUGACGCUGAGGAGCGAAAGCGUGGGGAGCGAACAGG